UUUCGUACAUAUUCAACCCGGAGGAAUCUACGGUUAAGAUAUUCACAGACAGCGUGUCCCAACCCUUUUAUCGUGCAGAACCCGAGCCUUUUUCUCUAGCGCUAAGGAUGCGAGAAUGGCUUAAAAUAAGGCUAGCUUUGUGUCAAAUGGAACGUGCCCUGAGUGCUUCAAUGCUGCCAGGAUAUGCGUUGGAAGAACAAGUCUGUGGACGUCAGGAUCUAAUGGCCCUGAGAGUCACAUCCAUGGGUUAUACCCCGGACUCCAGAGUGACAAUUUUAGCAUGUGAACAAUUUGACAGGUCAAAUGCUACGAAAACGGUCAGUCCAUAUGUAUCCUCCAAAGCAUGCAAGGAUGUAAAUUUUUUUCAAAUAAUGUUCAGUUUUAAAUGGCGCGAUUACCACAUUUUCCGAACCCUGAUGAAUAAGCUGGACAGUCUUUUCGAAAAUCGUGAACAAUUACGGCGAUGGCCUAGGUUAUCGUUGAGACAUAGGUUAUCGUUGAGACAUACACCGGAACAACAACAAGUUCGAAGGCGGAUCUUUCCCUGGCAGGAAAGUGGACAGAGCUUCGACGGAGCGAAAAGACUUUGUGAUGGGGAAUUGGAAACGGAUCAUGUUCAGGGCUAACAGGACCCCAUAUAUCUGAUCCCCGACAUUUACGCAGCUUUUACGCGAUUUACCUGAUCUGGAACAUGAUGGGGGUUCGCAGGAGCAAAAGUCUGGCAGACAAUCACCAACGGCCUUUUUUCGUUCCGACAUACAGCCCUUUAUCAUAAAGGAUGCGUUAUGGACAGCUGACACGCAGGACUUUGAUGCAAUUCUACCGUUCACUGUGGCCCAAGUACACUGCUCAGAAUCAAGCCCACCCGAAAACUACUGUUGGGCCGGGAACUUGCUGCUUCACG